rnacentral:rRNA from 1 species
UUGCCAGCCCGCUCAGAAACUCAAAGAAUUGACGGGGCCCGCACAAGCGGAGGAGCAUGUGGUUUAAUUCGAUGAUACGCGAGGAACCUUACCUGGGCUCGAACGUAAGAUGACUGUAGGUGAAAGCUUACAUCUCUUCGGAGCAUUUUACGAGGUGCUGCAUGGUUGUCGUCAGCUCGUGCCGUGAGGUGUCGGGUUAAGUCCCAUAACGAGCGCAACCCCUACCUUUAGUUGCCAUCAGGUUAAGCUGGGGACUCUAAAGGAACUGCCUACGCAAGUAGUGAGGAAGGCGGGGAUGACGUCAAAUCAGCACGGCCCUUACGUCCAGGGCUACACACGUGCUACAAUGGCCGAUACAGAGGGCAGCUACCUGGUGACAGGAUGCAAAUCUCCAAAGUCGGUCUCAGUUCGGAUCGGAGUCUGCAACCCGACUCCGUGAAGUUGGAUUCGCUAGUAAUCGCGCAUCAGCCAUGGCGCGGUGAAUACGUUCCCGGGCCUU